GAUGAACGUUGGCGGUGUGCCUAAUACAUGCAAGUCGAACGGAGUUAGUAGCAAUACUGGCUCAGUGGCGAACGGGUGAGUAACGCGUUGGUGAUCUGCCUUGAAGUGUGGAAUAACGUUUCGAAAGAGACGCUAAUACCGCAUGUGCUCUCGAUUUUCAGAAAGUUGAGAGUAAAGGAUUUAUUCGCUUCAAGAGGAGCCUGCGUCCCAUCAGCUGGUUGGUAGGGUAACGGCCUACCAAGGCUAUGACGGGUAGGGGACCUGAGAGGGUGGCCCCCCACAAUGGAACUGAAACACGGUCCAUACACCUACGGGUGGCAGCAGUAGGGAAUAUUAGAAAUGGACGAAAGUCUGAUCUAGCAACACCGCGUGUGCGAAGAAGGCCUUCGGGUCGUAAAGCACUUUUUGGAAGGAAUAGGAAGGAAUGUACUUCCAGAAUAAGUCUCGGCUAACUACGUG
rnacentral:rRNA from 1 species